rnacentral:lncRNA from 1 species
GUGCAUGCUGAACUAUAAUUUAUGAAACUGAGCACAGCUAAUCAGCCAAUCGUUACGCUUCUCCCUAACAAGUCUAACUGGCUCUGAAAGCACUGCAACAGAACAACGAAGAGAGGGGAGAUAUCCCACAUGCUAAGCUGCUUAGGCUGGAAUUGCUUUCUGUGUGGCAGGAGCGCAUUAGAGGAGGGAAGAGGGAGGGAAUGAAAUCAGACUCAUUUUUUAAAAAAUGGGUAAUCUGACCAGCUACAAUGAAACUACAUAAAUGAAAUCAA